rnacentral:rRNA from 1 species
AGAGUUUGAUCAUGGCUCAGAUUGAACGCUGGCGGUAGGCCUAACACAUGCAAGUCGAACGGUAACGGACCGCUGGGAUCCCUUCGGGGUGACCUUGGUGCCGACGAGUGGCGGACGGGUGAGUAACACGUAGGAAUCUGCCCAACAGAGGGGGACAACCCGGAGAAAUCCGGGCUAAUACCGCAUACGCCCUACGGGGGAAAGCGGGGGAUCUUCGGACCUCGCGCUGUUGGAGGAGCCUGCGUCGGAUUAGUUUGUUGGUGAGGUAACGGCUCACCAAGGCGACGAUCCGUAGCUGGUCUGAGAGGAUGAUCAGCCACACUGGGACUGAGACACGGCCCAGACUCCUACGGGAGGCAGCAGUGGGGAAUAUUGCACAAUGGGCGAAAGCCUGAUGCAGCCAUACCGCGUGUGUGAAGAAGGCCCUCGGGUUGUAAAGCACUUUCGUCAGGGAAGAAAGGUGCGGGGUUAAUAUCCCCGUACUGUGACGGUACCUGAAUAAGAAGCACCGGCUAACUCCGUGCCAGCAGCCGCGGUAAUACGGAGGGUGCGAGCGUUAAUCGGAAUUACUGGGCGUAAAGCGCGCGUAGGCGGUCUGGGUCAGUCAGAUGUGAAAGCCCCGGGGCUCAACCUGGGAACUGCAUUUGAUACUGCCAGGCUAGAGUGCAGUA